CCUAAUAGUGAUACAAUGUUUCUCUCUUUGCAACUUAGGGAAUGGAGGUGCUAAACCUCCACACCCCAGGGCAUCACUACACCGAGGAGAAUUUGAGAGCUCAAACCUAACGUUGAUUUUACGACGAGUAGACCCGCAGUAUAAAGGACUACACGUGAAGACAUCCUAACUAGACACACAGGGAGAAGGACGGCCUGUGCCAGAAAUAUGACAAGGAUGCAAGAAGCAGGGAAUGAGACAUCUCUCAGCAUCUUCCAGUAC